GUGCUUGCUUUGGCAGCACAUAGACUCAAAUGGGAAUGAUACAGAGAUUAGCAUGGCCCCUGCACAAGGAUGACACACAAAUUAGUGAAGUGUUCCAGAUUUUA
rnacentral:snRNA from 1 species